AAUAGUUGCACAAUGGGGGAAACCCUGAUGCAGCCAUGCCGCGUGUGUGAAGAAGGCCUUCGGGUGUAAAGCACUUUCAGUAGGGAGGAAGGUAGUGUAGUUAACACCUGCAUUAUUUGACGUUACCUACAGAAGAAGCACCGGCUAACUCCGUGCCAGCAGCCGCGGUAAUACGGAGGGUGCGAGCGUUAAUCGGAAUUACUGGGCGUAAAGCGCAUGCAGGCGGCCUGUUAAGUCAGAUGUGAAAGCCCGGGGCUUAACCUCGGAAUUGCAUUUGAAACUGGCAGGCUAGAGUCUUGUAGAGGGGGGUAGGAAUUUCAGGUGUAGCGGUGAAAUAGCGUAGAGAUCUGAAGGAAUACCAGUGGCGAAGGCGGCCCCCCUGGACAAAGACUGACGCUCAGAUGCGAAAGCGUGGGGAGCAAACAGGAUUAGAUACCCUGGUAG
rnacentral:rRNA from 1 species